CUUGCUUUUAAAAAAAAAAUUGCUGGAAAAAUUUUCUUUGGUCGUGUUUGCAGCUGAACCCGUGUCCACGUCACUCUCCCGCAACCGUAAUCCAACACGUCUGCAGCUCAUAAAUUCGUUUCCUCAUCCCGUUCGGAACCAAGUCCCAAAUUUCACGCGUCCGCCCCGCAUCUCUCCCCUGUUCCAUGACAGUCAUCCAGAACCAAAUCUAGAUUAAAACAUAAGAAUCCCAGCUCACGGAAUAGAGCCGUGUCCACGGGAUGCUUCCCAGCGAAUCCAACAAGUCUCACACAACCUUAUCCCAAAAAGCAGAGCCAUUCCGCAUCUAAAGAACAAGCUCACUGAUCCGGAUUUGUCCCAGAUUUCCUUCCAUUCGUGAUAGCCUUCAUCACCCACGGAUCUUCCCAGCAUCUUCCUAACCUUCCACGACAUUCCUUCUCCGAAUUUCCCAGCUUCUCCCGCUAGAUCCCCUCCACGGAUAAGCUCUCAACAACGUCCACAAACAGAAUCCCUGUUUCAAGAUCGCAAUUCAUCCUCAUCCCUUCUCAGCCGUGGGCAACAUUCUAGCUUCCACGUCUCCGCGUUCAUCCUCAUCUUCCCAGCACUUUCCAAUCUUUCCGUGAUCCAUUCUCAUCUUCCUCUCUCCCACUGCAUCCAGCUCACGGUUCAUCACUUCUUCCCAACCAUUUCCCAUCAUCUGCGGAGGAGAUCAAGCCUUCACAGAAUCCCCUGUUUCAAGAUUUCAUCCCGUACACUGCAUCCAUGCCAUCCUCUUCUUCUGUUCGCUCCCAGCAAAUCUUCACACCUCAACCUCAUAAUCAGUCCGGAUUGGCUUUGUUCCCCCCAGAUUCUGAAAUCACCUCCCACGAUUCUCUACUCCGGAUUAACUCCAUCAUCCACGGGCAGAACAGAGUUAUCCUCUCAAAACAGCAUCCCAUCAUCUUCAUCUCUAUCCCACGGCCAGCCGGAUUCCCACGCUUCCUCUGUGCAUCUCAGCAUGAUCCAUCCUUAUCCACUGCUAACCGAGUCCCAAGCUUGAUCCCGUUCAUGAUGACCAUCCAGGAUCCAUGACAGCAUCCCGAGCUUCACGGGUCACCUUCUAUCCAGCCUCUUCCGAAUCAUUCCGGAUCAUCCUUCCAGCGGAACAGAGGCCGAGUCUUCCCAUCCUUAUCCCAGAACAGUUGUAUCCUUCUCCCAAACCAAAUCCAAAGCCCGUCCCAGCCUCCCUCCGGAUUGUGUUCGUGAUCUAUCUUCAUCCCACGACCGCAUCAAAUCCCCUGCAUCUUGGAUUACAAGCUUAUCCCCUGCUUCGGAACCAACUCUCAACAUCUUCAUCUCCACCGUGUUGAACCAACAUCAGCAACUUCCGGAUUUCUCCCAACGUCCAAGUUCAUCCAAGCUGCCAGCCGAAUCCAGUUGUUCCCAGUUCCAAUCCAGCAUCAGAUCGAGCCUCAUCCUUAUCCUCCACUCGGAAAAAGGGAAGAAGUAGAGACUGCAGCCUAUAAAAGUCCCACGGUGAACAGAGGAGGGAAUCCUUUCGGAGGAGAUCCCAUCCAUUAGUUCUUCGGGAAGUCCCACGGGAAACAGAGAAGAAAAGAGGAGUUUUGAAGAGACGCUGGGAGCGGGCGAACGUGGAAGGGAAGCAGAG